AUACGUAGGGUGCAAGCGUUAAUCGGAAUUACUGGGCGUAAAGCGUGCGCAGGCGGUUUUGUAAGACAGAGGUGAAAUCCCCGGGCUCAACCUGAGAACUGCCUUUGUGACUGCAAGGCUAGAGUACGGCAGAGGGGGAUGGAAUUCCGCGGGUAGCAGUGAAAUGCGUAGAUAUGCGGAGGAACACCGAUGGCGAAGGCAAUCCCCUGGGCCUGUACCGACGCUCAUGCACGAAAGCGUGGGGAGCAAACAGGAUUAGAUACCCUGGUAGUCCACGCCCUAAACGAUGUCAACUGGUUGUUGGGUCUUCAUUGACUCAGUAACGAAGCUAACGCGUGAAGUUGACCGCCUGGGGAGUACGGCCGCAAGGUUGAAACUCAAAUGAAUCGACGGGG
rnacentral:rRNA from 1 species